AUUGAACGCUGGCGGCAGGCUUAACACAUGCAAGUCGAGCGGGGUGAUGGUGCUUGCACUAUCACUUAGCGGCGGACGGGUGAGUAAUGCUUAGGAAUCUGCCUAUUAGUGGGGGACAACAUCUCGAAAGGGAUGCUAAUACCGCAUACGUCCUACGGGAGAAAGCAGGGGAUCACUUGUGACCUUGUGCUAAUAGAUGAGCCUAAGUCGGAUUAGCUAGUUGGUGGGGUAAAGGCCUACCAAGGCGACGAUCUGUAGCGGGUCUGAGAGGAUAGUCCGGAACACUGGGACUGAGACACGGCCCAGACUCCUACGGGAGGCAGCAGUGGGGAAUAUUGGACAAUGGGGGGAACCCUGAUCCAGCCAUGCCGCGUGUGUGAAGAAGGCCUUAUGGUUGUAAAGCACUUUAAGCGAGGAGGAGGCUUACCUAGUUAAUACCUGGGAUAAGUGGACGUUACUCGCAGAAUAAGCACCGGCUAACUCUGUGCCAGCAGCCGCCGUAAAAC
rnacentral:rRNA from 1 species